AAUGGAGUCUGAGGUAUUAUGUACCGCUUCAGCAAAUUCGCGGACCUUCUCUUGACAAACAUAUCUCAUAAUUGUAGGAGGAGAUAACUGGCAUGAUGCUUGUGGUCUAUCUAGAUUACUGCAGCUUCUGAAGUACAUUCUUAAAUCUUAACUGGUUCACCGAUUCAUUAGUGUUACUGUGUUUUGUGUUUCCUGAAUUUGUUAACUCUCUUUUUCAGCACCAAUGCAAAACUGAAUAAGAGAAGGACCGAGCAAAAGGGUAGACGAGUUCAAGUGACAAUGUUGACUUUCACCCUACGGUAUAGAUGCAGACCGUAAGCGGUGUUGAUGGGAAGGAUCAGAAAGAUGCAGAGCAUGAGGAGAUAAGCUGGGUGGUUGGAGGGAAAUCAAAGGAGAUUUAGGAACGGAUGAAAGAGAUAAGCACUCAAUGACAGUGUUCUAUUUGAAAGAAUGAUGUGGGGUUUGGGGAUAAGGUGCCAGCAAGUGGCUGGUAUUAUUAUAAUCAGGGGAUUAGGUCUGUGGGUUAAAAUAUGGAAAGAAGCUUCUAGGUUGGGAAAUAAAUUAUUGAUUACAGUGACUGGACCAUAAAUCCGUUUCUUUUCUUCAAGAAUUAGAAAAAGUUUGGUUAAAAAAAUGAAGAAAGCCUAUUGUGAUGAUAAUAUAAUCUUAUAGCCAGUCAUCGUGAUAAAA